rnacentral:rRNA from 1 species
CGAAGUCUUCGGACUUAGUGGCAGACGGGUGAGUAACGCGUGGGAAUGUGCCUUUCAGUUCGGAAUAACUCAGGGAAACUUGAGCUAAAACCGGAUACGCCCUUCGGGGGAAAGUUUACGCUGAAAGAUCAGCCCGCGUUAGAUUAGCUAGUUGGUGGGGUAAAGGCCUACCAAGGCUACGAUCUAUAGCUGUUCUGAGAGGAAGAUCAGCCACACUGGGACUGAGACACGGCCCAGACUCCUACGGGAGGCAGCAGUGGGGAAUAUUGGACAAUGGGCGAAAGCCUGAUCCAGCCAUGCCGCGUGGAUGAAGAAGGCCCUAGGGUUGUAAAGUCCUUUCGAUGGUGAAGAUAAUGACGGUAACCAUACAAGAAGCCCCGGCUAAUUUCGUGCCACCAGCCGCGGUAAUACAAAAGGGGCUAGCGUUGUUCGGAAUUACUGGGCGUAAAGCGCACGUAGGCGGCCUUGUAAGUUGGGGGUGAAAUCCCGGAGCUCAACUCCGGAACUGCCUCCAAAACUACAAAGCUUGAGGAUGUGAGAGGAUAGUGGAAUUCCGAGUGUAGAGGUGAAAUUCGUAGAUAUUCGGAAAAACACCAGUGGCGA